rnacentral:rRNA from 1 species
CUACGGGUCGCUCCAGUGGGGAAUAUUGCACAAUGGGGGAAACCCUGAUGCAGCAACGCCGCGUGGAGGAUGACGCAUUUCGGUGUGUAAACUCCUUUUAUAUAGGAAGAUAAUGACGGUACUAUAUGAAUAAGCACCGGCUAACUCCGUGCCAGCAGCCGCGGUAAUACGGAGGGUGCAGGCGUUACUCGGAAUCACUGGGCGUAAAGCGCGCGCAGGCGGCCUUUUAAGUUGGAUGUGAAAGCCUAUGGCUUAACCAUAGAACUGCAUCCUAAACUAUCAGGCUAGAGUCUGGGAGGGGAAGAUGGAAUUAGUUGUGUAGGGGUAAAAUCCGUAGAGAUAACUAGGAAUACCAAAAGCGAAGGCGAUCUUCUGGAACAGUACUGACGCUGAGGCGCGAAAGCGUGGGGAGCAAACAGGAUUAGAUACCCUAGUAGUC